CCCCUCCGCCGCCCCAGCCAGUCGCAGUGUACGGGCUUCUCAUUGCAGUGGCUUCUCUUGCUGAGGAGCACAGGCUCUAGAGCACUCGGGCUUUAGUAGUUGUAACACAUGGGCUCAGUAGUUGCAGUUCCUGGGUUCUAGAGCACAGGCUCAACAGUUGUGGUGCCCAGGCUUGAUUGCCCCAUGGCAUGUGGGAUCUUCCCAGAUCAAGGAUGGAAUCCAUGUCUCCUGCAUUGGCACGUGGCUUCUUUACCACUGAACCACCAGGGAAGCCCUAAAGCUUUCUGAUUGGCGCAAACCACCCAGCAGGAGGACGCUUACUGGAGCCUGACUAGAAAGAGUAACAAUUUUAUGUGCUCAGCCCUAGGUUCGGACUAAGGAGACCUGGUAGUGAUUCGUAUAUCUGUUGGUUUUGGACGAGGCCUGAGAAUCUACAUUUCUUGCAAGUUCCUAGGUGAUGCUGAAGAUGCAUGUCUGUGGACCACACUGCAGGUUUGACAGAAGUGUUAUGUGAGACACUGAUGUGAAGAUUCUGCCUCCCAGGAGCAUUUUGGUCCCUAGUAUCGAGCACUACCCUCCUCCCACCAUCCUCUCUUAAAAUUCAAACAUUCCUUGAAAGGUUAACAAAUUCAUUGUGAACAGGGAAUUGGUGACCAUUUCAAAAUGCACAUCCUAAGAGCAAUGAAACACAGAAAAAGAAACCAAAAUGGGAAGGGACACAGGAGAGGCAAAAGUUGUUGAAGAUGAAAGUGAUCCAGCAAGAGACUAACGUGACAGGAUAAGUCUUCAAGAAAGAUAUCUGCAAAGAAGAUGUCUGUCCCCCCUUAUCACAGGCACAGGAGGUGCCCCAUUAUGUGACCACUGGACCCAGCUUUUCUACAAUGAGACUACCUGAAUGUCUUACUGGUGACCACUUAAGCUCUUCUGAUUCGUGCUGGCUAAUUUUAUAGGACCGUUUUUACUAAAUAUUUCCAACACACUAUAUCCUGUUGUUUAGAAGACCAUAUUUUAGAAGACUCAAAUCUUGGUUUUUUAUUAGGUCACUAUCUACACCCUUCUCAGAGAAGG
ensembl:lncRNA